UCCAGAUCCAUUGGAAUAACAGCAGC
rnacentral:piRNA from 2 species